rnacentral:rRNA from 1 species
UGGGGAAUUUUGGACAAUGGGCGAAAGCCUGAUCCAGCAAUGCCGCGUGUGUGAAGAAGGCCUUCGGGUUGUAAAGCACUUUUGUCCGGAAAGAAAUCCUUGGCUCUAAUACGGUCGGGGGAUGACGGUACCGGAAGAAUAAGCACCGGCUAACUACGUGCCAGCAGCCGCGGUAAUACGUAGGGUGCAAGCGUUAAUCGGAAUUACUGGGCGUAAAGCGUGCGCAGGCGGUUUGCUAAGACCGAUGUGAAAUCCCCGGGCUCAACCUGGGAACUGCAUUGGUGACUGGCAGGCUAGAGUAUGGCAGAGGGGGGUAGAAUUCCACGUGUAGCAGUGAAAUGCGUAGAGAUGUGGAGGAAUACCGAUGGCGAAGGCAGCCCCCUGGGCCAAUACUGACGCUCAUGCACGAAAGCGUGGGGAGCAAAACAGGAUUAGAUACCCUGGUAGUCCACGCCCUAAAACGAUGUCAACUAGUUGUUGGGGAUUCAUUUCUUUAGUAACGUAGCUAACGCGUGAAGUUGACCGCCU